rnacentral:rRNA from 1 species
GCCUGCAGCUCUCACCUGGUGUCCUGCUGAAGCUAAGCAGGGUUGAGCCUGGUCAGUACCUGGAUGGGAGACCUCAUGGGGAACUAAGGUUGCUGAUGGAA